AGUGUUCACCUCCACGUUGGUUCCUGGCUUUCUUUCCUCGGCAUUGUCUGAAUCACUUCUUAUACCCCACUGCAGCAGCAGUGUUUACGCUGUACUUGUUCCAUGUUCCAUCAAAUACUGUCGUCCACCCUGGGAGGUCUGCAGUGCUGCUGCUUGCGUGACCACGAGGGGGAGUCAGGGAGUGUCCCUGGAAUUCCUCCCCAUCCUCUCCUUCCUCCCUGUCUUCUCAGCCUCUUGCUCUCUACUUCUCCUUUUCCUUUCUUCUUCUUCUUCUUCUUCUUCUUCUUCUUCUCCCUCCUUUCUUUUUUCAAUUAUGAGGUAAAAAAGAUACAUUUAUGUUUAAUUUUGAAAUUGACCUUUGACUUCAGUUUUACUUAGCUAAAAUUCGUGUGAGGAUACAAAAGUGAAUAAAACAGACCAAAAUGCUGGUUCUCAUGGAAUUUACAAUCUCUUGGGGAAUAUGCACAAUAAACAGAAGAAAAUACUAAAAUAUGGCUGGUGUGGUGGCUUAUGCCUAUAACCCUAGUGCUUUGGGAGGCCAGGAUGGGAGGAUUGCUUGAGGCUGGGAGUUUGAAACCAGCCUGGGCAACAUAAGGAGACUUUGUCUUUACAAAAAAUUAAAAAGUUAGCCAGGCUUUAUGGUGUAUACUUGUAGUGCCAGGUCCUCGAGAGGCUGAGGCAAGAGGAUCACUUGAACCUAGUAUUUCGAGGAUACAGUGAGCUAUGAUCACAUUACUGCACUGCAGCCUGGGCAACAAAGUGAGACCCUAUGCCUCAAACAAACAAACAAACCCCAGUAUAAUAUGUAGUGUAAAGAAUGGUGCUCUGUGUUAAGGAGGAAAGGUGUAGCAUGAGGAAGGAGCUGGGAAGCGCAGGUGGCGGAUGGAUGGCUGCAGGCAGAGUGGCGGGAAAAGGACUCCUUGAAAAAGCCUCUGAGAGAAGAGAUUUACUAUAUUAUCCUUUAAUAGUUUUGGAAAUCAGGUAGAAGUAGUGAGUUCUGUGUGUUUUUACCUUGUGAAAAAUUGUAGCAUUAUAUAAGGAAUUAAACAAAGAUAAUUCAAGCCACUGUUAAAUUAAUAUCUAUAUGUCUUUUCUUAAAUUAGUGCUAAUGGUCAGCAUAACUCAAACUAUUUCAGAUUUGGAAUUUAACUUGCACUCAUUUAUUACAAAGUCAAUACUCAUCUUAGAAAUUAAAAAGAAUAGUAAUUAUAAGGUUUUCAAAGAAAAGUGCUAAUGUUAUGACCCAUCUAACAUCAUAUGGUUUCAAGAAUGCCAUGAAAAUGAUUUUUUUACCUUAUAUUUAUAGUUCAUAGAUAGCUUAUGCUUCUUACUACUGUUAAUUAAUACUUUUGUAGUAAUUAUAGAAUGCUUUAAAUAUAUAUUAUUCUGAAUUAAAAAGAUUAGGCUUUAAAAAAUUAAUUUAAAGGGAUAAUAGAACUGACCUGCACUUUAGUAAAUUCUUUAAUAAAAUGUUUUUUAAAAGACCAUCAAAAGCUAGUUUUCUUUAGAACACUUUGUUUCUCUAUGGAAUACAAAGUUCCAUAUAGCUUUUCAGCCUCUAUUUUCAAGUAAAAUUUGAUUAUAGUUAUGCUCUCAGCAGUCAUUGUUUUCCUUAAAGGGUGAUUGCCUUUGAGAACAGAUUCCCUAGCAGCUUACAUCUCAGUUACACGUUGCAAGGUUGAAUGUUAUGCUAGCUACUGAAAAGAAUACACAACAAAUAAAUUGUAAAUAAAAGUACAUAAUCAAAUAUAGAUGCAAAGUAUAAGAUAUCUCUCUGGAUGCAUUGGAUAUAGGAGCCUAACAGAUAUCUAUGGGAACAUCUCAGCUCUGAGGUGAAUUUCUUAUGACUUGACAGUAACUUUGUUAAUGAAUUGGGAGGCAGAUCAAAAUGUGAUAAUUCUGUGACUUGCAUUUGUCUUCUCUUACCAAUGUCAUUGGAAGAGCAGAAAUUCUUAAUUUUGAUGAAAUCUAACUUACCAGUUUUGUUUUAUGGUUUGUGCUUUUGUUUCUAAAAACUCAUUGUCAAAUUCAAGAUCUCAUAGAUUUUCUUCUAUUUUUAAUAGAAGUUUUAUUGUUUUAGAUUUAACAUUAAGGUCUGUGAUUUAUUUUGAGUUAAUUUUUGAAAAUGUUGUGUGAAGAAUGGAUCACUUUUUUAAUGCAUGUGGGUAUUCAGUUAUUUUUUGCAUUGAGUCUACAGGACAGCUUAGAGGGACUGACAUCUUAACAAUAUCAAAUCUUUCAA
rnacentral:lncRNA from 10 species